UGACAACCGAAGCUGAUUAAAGAUGCUCGUAUCCAUGAUUAUCUAUAGUAUCUUAUGAACCAUGGAUGCUGGCAUUACACAGAAGACUCUGCCAGCGUACAGAUGAGAUUAAGAGAGCCACAAAGAAAUGACAUCAAACGUUACGGCAGUCCUGGAAUCCAAGCCUACAGCUGCGACUUUGCUGUGGGUGCCUCAUGUUGCCAUCGCCGUGUCUUUUUUAACCUUUCUUGCCUUCAAUUUCUACUGCUAUCAUAUGAAAUACAAACAGAGAUAUCAAAGAAAAUCGGACGAGUCUGAAAUCAAAGCCAGGCUAAAAGAGAGGAGACGAAUUCUGAACAUUGUGAAGCUGCGUCACAUGAUCACUCCACAAAUCCCAGCCUCGGCAUCAGCGUUCUCCAAAAAGAACUUCAAGGUCACAUCAGACUUCAAGAAAGCGUCAACGCUAACGGCAAAGAUGGAAUCGACCUUGACAUCGAAAUCUUCCUCUAACUUACAGGUGCUUGACUGCCCGUUCUCUGUGGCGGGGAAACCUUUCGAUGCUAUUUCCGUUUAAUACGCUAGGAACAUAAGGUUCUACUGAAUCAUCGCGAAAUACACUUACACAUGCAAAUCGAACGAAAGGACCUUCCAAGUGGCAAAUGAUUCGUUGAUUCUAUGGAAGAAUUAGCACAAACUGUAAUAUGUCAAAACAUAGACCAAUACCUCAAGAAAAGACAGUGCAAUGAGGAAGAAAACCCUUAAGUAAAUAAAAUAACAAAACACAUCCAGAAAUAAUCAAACAACAGAAACCACAGAACAUCGUUUCUUUCCAGUUUUGAUAACAAACCAUGAAAAUAAUUUCGUGGGCUUUUUCAUUCUGCAUACGUAGUAUGUAUAAUAAUGCAGUAUCAUAUCAACUAAAGCUAUUUUAUUAAAUUUGAAUACAGUC